rnacentral:rRNA from 1 species
GAUGAACGCUAGCUACAGGCUUAACACAUGCAAGUCGAGGGGCAGCGGGAUUGAAGCUUGCUUCAAUUGCCGGCGACCGGCGCACGGGUGAGUAACGCGUAUCCAACCUUCCGUACACUCAGGGAUAGCCUUUCGAAAGAAAGAUUAAUACCUGAUGGUAUGAUGAGAUUGCAUGAUAGCAUCAUUAAAGAUUUAUCGGUGUACGAUGGGGAUGCGUUCCAUUAGGUAGUAGGCGGGGUAACGGCCCACCUAGCCUACGAUGGAUAGGGGUUCUGAGAGGAAGGCCCCCCANACUGGGACUGAGACACGGCCCAGACUCCUACGGGAGGCAGCAGUGAGGAAUAUUGGUCAAUGGGCGGAAGCCUGAACCAGCCAUGCCGCGUGAAGGACUAAGGCCCUACGGGUCGUAAAACUUCUUUAGACGCAGAGCAAUAAGGUCCACGUGUGGACCGAUGAGAGUAUGCGUAGAAUAAGCAUCGGCUAACUCCGUG